rnacentral:tRNA from 1 species
GCCAAAUUAGUUUAAUUGGUUAAAACCUACCACUCAUGACGGUAUAACGAAGGUUCGAUUCCUUCAUUCGGCU